GUUAAAAGAAGCAAAUAUGCAUUGAUUUUGUAAAUCAAAAAAAGAAUUUAUAUUCCUUUAACU
rnacentral:tRNA from 1 species